rnacentral:rRNA from 1 species
AAUGAACGUUGGCGGCGUGGAUUAGGCAUGCAAGUCGAGCGAGAACCAGUCUUCGGAUUGGGGACAGCGGCGAACGGGGUAGGAAUACCUCGGUGACGUACCCCCCGGUCGGGGAUAGCGGCGGGAAACUGCCGGUAAUACCCGAUGAUCUUUCCAAGUUUUACGACAGGGAAAGCAAAGGUGUGAUUCCGUCGGGGGAGCGGCUGAGGUCGUAUUAGCUAGUUGGUAAGGUCACGGCUUACCAAGGCGAUGAUGCGUAGGGGGUGUGAGAGCAUGGCCCCCACCACUGGCACUGAGACACUGGCCAGACACCUACGGGUGGCAG